rfam:Nicotiana attenuata strain TT chromosome 2, whole genome shotgun sequence.
GCACCAAUGGUCUAGUGGUAGAAUAGUAUCCUGCCACAUUACCGACCUCGGUUCGAUUCCUAGAUGGUGCA